rnacentral:lncRNA from 1 species
AUGCCAAAGAUAUCCCUUCCUAUAGUCAGUUUGACACCUCCUUGGGAACAGAUGUGCCUUCUUAGUACCCCGACCUUACCAGACUCCAACAGACUACAGUUGCUGAUCACAGGAGAAAAUGACAGACAAUCGAACACCUUAGACAGUCCCACAUUAAGAGUUAUGGCUAAAACCAAACUUUUCGUUAUAAAGCUGAACACCAUCGUGAUAGUGCAACUCAAUAACUACUAAGGAUCACUUUUUGUGAGCCCCUUUGAACUGUCUAUUAUACAAAUAUUGUACUGUUGCAACACAUUCUGGCCAAUAUUUAGCUUCUAAAUUUGCUUCUUUCAACAGACAUCCGGCUUUUUAAGUACUCAUUUUAGUAUGAUUGUAACGUUCAGCCGUUCCGUUUAAUUAAUGCAAAUAAAGUGGACACGGAUUGAGAAAAAUUCCCCUUUGUUUAAGGUAUCUCAGAGGAACAUUAUUAAUACAUUCGGUUCCAUUAUCACAUCUUAAUUUUUAAUCUUUAGACCUGUUUGAUUUUCCAUUAGAUUAUAUACUCUUGAAAUUUCUCGAACACUUCUGAUUUAUUUUUUAUGCAAAACAGUACAGCAAUUUUACUACAUAUAUUCAUUAUAAAAAUUACAACCUAUUUUUGACCUGCAUAACCUACAGGAUUGAUGCCAUCGUGAAGUACUGUUCCAACUUGCGUACGUUCGAGUGCAUUGGUCAGUUGUAUGUAAUGGGUAGUAGGCAUGAAAACUUCCAACAGCAAAGCGGAACUGAGGGACUUUAGUGAUCCUUUAUUUACGAAGUGCAAACAUUUUGCAUUUUCCUCCGUGUGGAUGGUGAAUACUCGCUCAUGGGUAGCAGGUUGGUCAAUGAUCGUUAUGGGUGACGGCUUGUAAUUACCAAACCUUGUUAUCUUUCUUCUGAAACAUACAUUACAAACCAUUGUUAGUACUUCUAAUCCAAUUAUAUUCAUUUAUAAAAAUUACAACUUAUUUUUGACCCGCAUAACCUACAGGAUUAGUUGGACCAUUUACAUCCGAAUGAAUUAUUUCGAAUGGUCUACCAGCUCUUUUUCCAUUAUUCUGAAACUUGGGAGUUGGCAUCUUGUUUUCAAGACACGUUUCACACUCGUAAUUUACUAAUGGAAUAUUAUUUGGAAAUCCUGAAAGUAAAUUUUUUGAACUUAACAUAUGUAGAUCUCGAAAAUUAAUAUGGCCUAACUUUCGAUGCCAUUUUUCUAAUGGUAACAAUUUUUUUUUUAGAGCAUUUAUGGUUAACUUUUCAAAAUCAUCAUGUCCAAAAGAUUCGCACUUGGUGCAAAUAAAUUUCCAAUCCUUUUGCAAUUCCUCCCAUUUGUCCAAAAUAAUUAUUUACUAAUACAUUUUUGUUUUGAAAGAGAAAAUUAUACUUAUCAUCAAGUAAUUCCGACACGCUAAGUAAAUUUCUGCUUAGUUCAGUUAGCAAAUCACGAUUACAAGAACACUGUCUCUCAUUCAUCUUUUUUUAUUAGAAAAAGAGCUUUUCCCACCGUUUUUCCAGCUCUCAUCAUUUUUUCUAUCAGGCUCUGUUGUGAUUUGACUGAACUGAGGUGCAGUACAGAUAUUAUGAAGAACAAUACACUCUUGUAAGGACUUCUAAUAAAAAUUUAUUGUAAUUUGCCUGUGUAGCUAUUUAUUGUAGAUAAUAUAUUGAUUCUUUAACAACAGUCUUCGACUUGAUCUUGAAAAUUAAAAGUAACAUCUCCUAGCAGUCCAAGAUACUUUAAAGAAUCAACAUUAACAAUCCACCGGUCAUCUGCUUAAUUUUAAAAGUCAAAAUCUAAACAGUCAUUUGCUGUUGAGCAGUAGUAGAUCUUAACCCCAUUUAUAUCGUAACAACUUGUUUCAAACCACUGGAUAGUCAAAUUUUCAUGAACGUCGAAGCUCUGUUUUUACAUUCGCAUCAUGUACUUCAAUUUAUUGUAUUUGGAUUGACAUUUUUUUGUUUUGUUGAUUGUUUUAAUCACUUCAAUAAAUUUAUUUUGUUUUAAACAUUUGUUACAACCUUCCUCCCGUCACUUUUUUUGUGGGAGAAAAUUUCAGAAAAACUUCCAAAAAAUAUAAAUUUUGGUUAGGGGAAGAUGGUGUCAACAAAUUUUGCACUGAAAUAGCAAAUUUUCAAUGCUUUAUAUUGAUCUAGAAAAUAAUUUUUCACCACACAGGCAACUUUUUAUUCUUAGUCCAUGCUUUUUGAAAGUGCUCUUCUCACAUUUUGUAGACUCAGAAGUAAAUUCCAAAGAGAAAAAUAAUAAAAGUUUAUGUUUUUCUUUCACCAAGACUUGAUCAGGUACUUCAGAGUUUUGGAACUUUACAAUAACUUGAAUUUUAAAUAAUGAUUGAGUAUUAUCAAAUUGUAUCACCAAGAAGCUAGAUGC